rnacentral:rRNA from 1 species
CGACCGCUGGCGGCGUGCUUAACACAUGCAAGUCGAACGGAAAGGCCCUGCUUUUGUGGGGUGCUCGAGUGGCGAACGGGUGAGUAACACGUGAGUAACCUGCCCUUGACUUUGGGAUAACUUCAGGAAACUGGGGCUAAUACCGGAUAGGAGCUCCUGCUGCAUGGUGGGGGUUGGAAAGUUUCGGCGGUUGGGGAUGGACUCGCGGCUUAUCAGCUUGUUGGUGGGGUAGUGGCUUACCAAGGCUUUGACGGGUAGCCGGCCUGAGAGGGUGACCGGCCACAUUGGGACUGAGAUACGGCCCAGACUCCUACGGGAGGCAGCAGUGGGGAAUAUUGCACAAUGGGCGGAAGCCUGAUGCAGCAACGCCGCGUGCGGGAUGACGGCCUUCGGGUUGUAAACCGCUUUCGCCUGUGACGAAGCGUGAGUGGCGGUAAUGGGUAAAGAAGCACCGGCUAACUACGUG